UACGUAGGGUGCGAGCGUUGUCCGGAAUUAUUGGGCGUAAAGAGCUCGUAGGCGGUCUGUCGCGUCUGCUGUGAAAUCCCGAGGCUCAACCUCGGGCUUGCAGUGGGUACGGGCAGGCUAGAGUGCGGUAGGGGAGAAUGGAACUCCUGGUGUAGCGGUGGAAUGCGCAGAUAUCAGGGAGGAACACCAAUAGCGAAGGCAGCUCGCUGGGACGUACUGACACUGAGGCGCGAAAGCGUGGGGGAGCGAACAGG
rnacentral:rRNA from 1 species